GAGGGUAAAGCUCAGUGGUAGAGCGCAUGCUUAGCAUGCACGAGAUCCUGGGUUCAAUCCUCAGUACCUCUA
rnacentral:tRNA from 1 species